rnacentral:rRNA from 1 species
UACGUAGGGUCCGAGCGUUGUCCGGAAUUACUGGGCGUAAAGAGCUCGUAGGUGGUUUGUCGCGUUGUUCGUGAAAACUCACAGCUUAACUGUGGGCGUGCGGGCGAUACGGGCAGACUAGAGUACUGCAGGGGAGACUGGAAUUCCUGGUGUAGCGGUGAAAUGCGCAGAUAUCAGGAGGAACACCGGUGGCGAAGGCGGCAUCCUGGACCGACACUGACGCUGAGGAGCGAAAGCCAGGGGAGCAAACGGG